AACGAACGCUGGCGGCAUGCCUAACACAUGCAAGUCGAACGAGACCUUCGGGUCUAGUGGCGCACGGGUGCGUAACGCGUGGGAACCUGCCCUUAGGUUCGGAAUAACUCCCCGAAAGGGGUGCUAAUACCGGAUAAUGUCUUCGGACCAAAGAUUUAUCGCCUUUGGAUGGGCCCGCGUUGGAUUUGCUAGUUGGUAGGGUAAAAGCCUACCAAGGCGACGAUCCAUAGCUGGUCUGAGAGGAUGAUCAGCCACACUGGGACUGAGACACGGCCCAGACUCCUACGGGAGGCAGCAGUGGGGAAUAUUGGACAAUGGGCGAAAGCCUGAUCCAGCAAUGCCGCGUGAGUGAUGAAGGCCUUAGGGUUGUAAAGCUCUUUUACCCGGGAUGAUAAUGACAGUACCGGGAGAAUAGCUCCGGCUAACUCCGUG
rnacentral:rRNA from 1 species